rnacentral:rRNA from 1 species
AUAGCUCGUACUCCCCGAAAUGCAUUUAGGUGCAGCCUUGAGUACAACGUGUUAUAGAGGUAGAGCUACUGAUUGGGCUAGGGGGCUUCACCGCCUACCAAACCCUGACAAACUCCGAAUACUAUAACAUUAACUCAAGAGUGAGGGCAUGGGUGCUAAGGUCCAUGUCCAAGAGGGAAAGAACCCAGAUCAUCAGCUAAGGUCCCUAAAUAUAUGCUAAGUUGACCUAACGUAGUCUGAUUGCAUUGACAGCUAGGAUGUUGGCUUGGAAGCAGCCA